CCCUCGCUCCCACCCCAGUGCCCCCAUCUGCCCCCAGUCAUCCCGCCGCCGGAGAGUCGUGUUAGUUGCUCGGUGGGCUACCGACCGACAGCCCGGGAUCCCAGCAUCUUGUCUGAUGUAGCCCCCCACCCCACCCCCCAAGCACGUCCCGGAGGCCUGGCACACAUUUCUCAGACACUUCAUUCCUUCCUUCCUCUGGGCUCCCUACUGAGAUAAUGUUGUAAAUGAUUUCACCAGAUCUCGUCCGGGAUGAGAUUCCGGGGCUCCUGACUCUACGUGACCUUGGGCAAGCCCCUCUUUUGCUUUUAUGAUGGAACGCACGCGCAGUGCCAGACACUGUUCAACCCUGGGAUUACCACGAUGAGAGAUACAGUGGCAGCCUGCAGAGUCUGCAGUCAACUGCAGAGACAGAUAGACCCUGAUUUUCUGACUGAUCACCAGGCAUUCCUUAUUUUCCCUUUCUUGUAGGGUUUAGAUGAUGGUCUGACAGAUCAGGAGGACCUAACCCAAACAGGAAACCACACUUCUGGACAAUAGUAUUGCCAGGCUCACUGGGGGAUGCAGGAAGCCUACAGAGUAAAAUACACACUCAUGAAUACAGCUGACAUAUGGAUCUCCUAAAGGAUUCCUCUUGGGAGGUCCUAGGUUCAAGAGAAACAGGCGUUUAGAUAGAGGUAAAAUGCUAUGGAGGUCUUGGAGAAUUAAAUUACUUUUAACUUGGGAUACUAUGGAAAACUUCCUGGAGGAGGUUGCUUGUGCAUUGUACCUUGAAAAAUAGGUAGGAUUGGGGUAUUGGAAAUGUGCCAGGUCAUGGGGCUGGCAAGGCUGGAAAUACCCAUGGCAUUAAAGGGCUAGAUCUUGGGAACUUGGAUCUUUAUUCUGGUAACAUGGUCUGGUGCUCAGGGUGAGAAGAAAUUUGAAGCCAUAACACAAGACCUUUAAACGUCUUGCUUUAUAGAGAAUUUUGGACUUUGCAUAAUGGACAGUCAUAAAAUGUUGAUUAGCAGAGAAGGGAUAACAGGUUUCUCUUUUAGAAACAUGGCCCUGGCGAAAGUGUGGAGUGGGUGCAGGGUCUGGAGAUAGGCCAGUUAGGAGGGUCAAGCCAGGGAAUCCACCUAAGUAACAGGUAUAGAUUGACACCCAGAAGCACCUGUUUAGAGUCAACUCACCUGGGCAUUGACUGGUCACUAUCCAACUACUUGAGUUCACCCCUUCAACCCAAUGUUCCCCCCACCACCUGGAGUCUGGCCAAGGCAUCCUUGUGUUUCUAACCAUCUUUACCUUCUAAGCUUCAUUUCCCACCUUCCAGGACAGCCCUGGAGACUGCAGCCAAAACUACCUCAUUGCAGGCUUGCUUUACUCCUCUUGCUCCUUGGGCUACUCUCUGGGAUGUGUGUGUGUGUGUGUGUGUGUGUGUGUGUGAACGAACACACAGCAGAGUGGGCUGUGCCCUAUCUCGUUCUGAAGAAGUGAUGAACAAAGCUUCCUUUGUUGACCUGCCACCUGGGCCAAUGGAGUUGGACUUUUCUUUCUUACUUUACACAGAAAGGAAAAGUGGUGAUGACAGAAAAUUGUCUAUUGCUUUCAAAAAAGUGGGGUUUCCCAUGUAUUUGAAAACCUCUUGGUGAAAGAUGGUGAGUUUAUGAAGUUAGCCUCCUUUGCCCUAUGCUCCCUCAAACUUCACAAGCUUCUUAAAAUGCUUCUGCUCAGCAUCUGACUUUUUUAAAAAAAUGCAUAAAUGCAUUGGCCCAGUUUCUUCUAAGGAACUAACCCCUUCCCAGGUAAGCUUUUAACCCUCUCCAAAAUCUUCCCAAUUUUUCAGAGCCAAAGUCUCUAAGCUCUGUUAUGACACUGACCACUGUCUGCUGCUGCUGGGCCCUAAUGAAAUAACUAGGUUGCCACCCCUGUCCCUUCAAGGCUGAGAAUUUUUCAUCUAAUUCUGUUAUCCCUGAUGAUGCGUGGAGAAUGAAAUAUAGUCAAGUAGAGUCUCAUUGCAGUACCACAAGCAGUCCCCUAGGUCAAAUAGUUAUUCAGCAACUCCUUUACUCCCACUUUUCGAAGUGUUUGGUAGAGUGAGACAAUAACUACACACACGCACACACACACACACACACUUAGAUGGAGGGACAGAGGGCCCAAGUAACCAAUAAUUAGUCCUUAGCUAUUAGUAUUUGCAUCUGGCAAGAAAACAAUUCGCGAGCUCCCUGACUUUCUCCACUGUAAUCAUUGAUGAAGAAAGUCUUGCAAAUAUGCUCAAAGAUUAUUUUUUAAUAUCCUUAUUCUGGUCAGUGAAAAUAGGACCAAGUUGGCACUCUCUCCAUUCUUUCUCCAGUGAGGCAGUAAGCUCCUCAGGAGAAAAUGUUUGGGUUUUGAAGCCUCUGCUUCAAUAGGAAACCAGCUUUAUUUUUUCAGUUAUCCUUUUCCUCCUACUGCCAAAGAAGAGAGAAAUGUAACAGCGGGCAUCAGUGGAGGUCACUUCUUUGAUCCCACUGUGAUAUCAGCAAAACGGAAUCUUUCCCACUGCAUCAUGCCCAACAAAUGCAAUCAGGGAUCCCAGGUUGGCUCCUCCCAGCAUGCCCCCCACUCACAAAGAGGGAUUUUUUUUGUCUUGUAUCACAUGUUUGCUUUUAAAGCAUAAGACAAAUACCUGCACCUCUAGUGAGACUCCCCUUUGUUUCCUAGGUAUGGGAAUGGUUUGUGAGUUUGGUUUAAAGCUACAGAAAGGAAAGAGCAAAAGAAGAGAAAAGCCUGCCAGGGACGUGCUAGCUGCCUUGCCAAGAGCUAUCCUGGGAGGGAUAUUGAAAGAGCCUCGAUGUUUGGCGGGCACAACAUCUUUGUUUGUAUGUGGUGCUGAGGAUUGAACCUGGGCCGCACGCAUGCCAGACGAGUGCGCUACCGCUUGAGCCACAUCCCCAGCCCUGGAUUUGCCUUGACAUGUCUAUAUUUAUGAAUUGGGCUACAGGGACAAGUUGGAGCAACAGUUAGCUCUGGGGUUGCUCACUGGAGCCUUCUGUAAUCUGGCCCACCAAACAUGCCCUCUCUGUUCCAGGGCCAUCCUUCCCCUUAGACCAACCCACCACCAAUUGUCCCUCAGAUCUCCCAUCCCUCAGUGCCCUCAGCUCUCCAAGAUAUUCCCUGCCUCCAAGACUCAGCCCCAUCCCCACUUCUUCACUCCAAACAGCUGCACUAUAAGUUGGAGGCAAUGAUUCUACUCUGCUUCACAUCUGUCACUCCUGGAGGUGACACAAAUAGCCCUGGGACCCCAGAGUCCCUUAAACACAAGAAUGAAUACCAAGUGUGCCUUCAGCCUGUGUGUGGCUAAAGUUGGUAUAUGGCAUUUCACAAGAAGGGAGAUUUUAUAUUUCCUCUUACUUUUUAAGUACAUUUUGCAUUAUAUUCUCCAUAUAUUCAUAUUUCUUUUAAUAUAAAAGUCACAUUUCUGCCCCCUUUCUCUGCCCAACUUUUUAAGUAAAAUUGAAAUUCCAACUUUCCUUUUGUUGGGCCACUGUACCCUUAAGAGAGGGCCUGUGCACCCCACUUUGAAAAGUUAGACAAUUUAACUUAAAUAUACAUGUUUAAAAAUUUCAGACUGUCCAAAAAGCUACAUCCUGAACAGUAGUCCUUCUGUCUGUAGACCCUGUCCCCCAAGCCCUGCCAAGGGGCAGUCAUCCUUACCUCUACCUUAUAUACCCAUCUGGGGAUUGCUAAUAAAUAGUCAGUGUCUGGGAGCAGAUGGUAACUGGCAAUUGAAGGUCAGCUGAGGCCCUGUGAAGCCAGCUCCUAGCCCUGCACUUCCAGGGCUAAAGCGCUCCUGUGCAGAAUGGCUGGCUGCUGCAUGGCCAACCUGCCAUUUUUAUUGUUGUCUUUGGCACAGACCCUUAGGGUGAGUUUUCAAAGACUCCACACUUGAGUGGUAUUGGGGCAUUUGGUGCCACCCUCCCUGGCUCUAGGUCUGUACCCUCACAAGGGGUUUGUUGUCAUUGAGAUGUCCCAGGGUGGCUGUUGUCUUCUCUGUCCCUCAAAGUCAGCCAGCCAAAGACAGGAACACAGCCAAAGGCACAUCAGGAAGAGAGGCAGGUGGGAGAGAAGGGGUGGAGGGGCCUGCCUCUGCCUGGCUGCUACAGCAGAGCCAGAGACGACAGCGAUUUGAGGGGGAGGCCUUCUCAUUCUCCCUGCCCCUCCUGUACCUGACAGACCUGAGGCUCACCUGAAAGGCGGUGCUCCGGGUCUACCUUUCCCAUGGGAAUUCAGCGCAGCCAACAUAACCCCUGAACUCUGCUGGGCCACUGCCAGCAACUCUCAGGCCUUCCCCCUGCCGACUGCAGUGACAUGAUGUCGUUUUUAUUGAGGCAAGAUUAGAUUUUUUUUUUUCUUUAAGUUUUCAGAAGUGUGGUUCACAUGAUCUCUAGUACUUUUCCUAUUGCUUAAAGACCACAGAGCUGACAAUUUCAAUUUGCUCCAGCUUUUAUCACUAGAAGAAGCUUAAAAGAAAAAAGAAAGAGGGUAGAUGAAAAUAUUCUCCUUGGCCCUGGCUGUCAGGGUGACGAUGGUAAAGGACCCCCACAUCGCCCACUUCCCUCAUGUCUCUCCUGUGAUACGAAGAUGUGAGGGUGCUGAGCACCGCAUGUCCAGCCUUGCUGACCAACAACACAUGAUGACCUCUAGAUCCAGGGGUCCUCAUGCCACAGGUAGAAAGGGAGCUCACAACCUUAAGUCACUACCAGCUAUCCCCGGAGUGUUCCAGAGGAUGCUCAUCUGAGAUAUGGGCAAAGUAAGCUCAGAAAAGUUUUCCUUCCUUUUGAUUCUAUUUUGCUAAUUCUCCUCCUCGGAGGCAAGAUUUCCUGUCCCUCCCUUUCACCUUUUCCUCUCUCCCCGCCCCUCCCUCCUGGCAACUCAUUUAUUGAGCAUAGUUAUUUAUUGCUUGGCUCUACAGGGUGAAAAGACAAAGUUCAUAUCACUCACCAUUUUUAAAGGAUAGUUGAAGGAUACUUAUUCACAUAAAUCAUGGGUUUCCAAGUAUCAAUUUAGCCCCCCAAAUAGGUCAUGUCAUGAAAAAUCAUGAAAAACCCGAGAACUGAUCACAGUUUUAUUUUGUUAUAAAAUCAGAGAAGAGCCUUCGAGGACUGAGAGACAUGCUGAAGAAAUGACUCCCUUCUGUUCCAGGGAAGACUCGGAGUGGAAAGAAUAUUUACAUGCCUGGGCCACGGAGGAGUCAUUUCAGACCCCAAUAGUCUGAUGCUCACAACAUCCUGCUGAGGAGGGAGGGGGAAGUGCAGCAUGGCCUUGUGUGGGACCAGUAUGUCAUAGGUGCUCAAGGGGUGGGGUGGGGGAUGUUGAGUGAAUGUUGAAUAAACCCCCAAUUUACAGCUCUAAGACGGGAUCAAGAGUAAUCAAGAGAUUGGUCUCAAGUCCGCAAGUCAAUGGCAUGGCCCAGCCUUGAGCUCAGACGUCAUAAGUACACACUCCCUAAUUCCUAGAGGCACCACCCUCUGGAGAUUUCUCCAACCUACUGCCUUCCCUAGGACAAGCAGGAAACAGACUCCAGAAGCUUUGUGAGUCUUUGGAGAGUAAAUUUUGUGGAUGAAGGUUAGACUGAGAUCAGACAUGGGCAGAACCUUUCAUCAGGAGACACUGCCCCCUUGGAAGGUUCUCCCAGGAUGAGUUGGUUGACUAAGAAGCCUGGGCGUUGGGUAUUGCUUUUGGGAUGUGGGCUUCUGAGCUGUGCCCAGGCCACUGUGAAAUAUCCUUGGGGAUCAUUGCCUUUUGGAAUUCUAUGCAUCCUCCCCCUGAACCAACGUAUUCUGUAGUUUUCAGUAGUGUAGAUCAGAAAAAGCUGGAUUCAGAGCCUACCCCAAGGAAUGACUCUCCGUUUGGUCUCGUGGACCUUGAUUUUUCUCCUCCAGAGAGGGAAGGAAAGGUGAUUGUGGGAGUGAAGUGAAUCCCAGUUAGCUCAGACAGCUUUGCCAGGGUUACAGAGCAAGGAGGCUGCAGAAUGGAACCAGGACUUGGAAGCCUCCUGACCCAGAAAGACAUUGAGUCCUUGCCUGGCCACCCAGAGGUGAAGAUCACAAUCCAGGCCAAGGGCCUAGGGCUGAAUCUGAAAGAUGCCUCUGGCCAGGAAAUGCAGUGUAGGCGCAGAGAGGAGGUUGAAGGAAAGGAGAGUCUGUAAGGUUGUUUGAAAAGGGAGACCAGAAGGCAUGGCAGCCCACCUUCCUGGCCACUCUACCCUGAGAACAUGAGACUGUACAGAAAGCUUUGGGUUGGAAAUCAGAGAAGAACCCAGGUUCUGGUCCUGUCUCUGCCAUAGGCUCAUUGUGUGCACCCCCUGAUAAAGUUGUCUCUGCCAUUUCUCUGGGGCCAGCUUCCCCAUUGUUGAUCUAACGGUUUACAAGCCACAACCUGUGGGGCUUCCUCCAGGGACCGUGGCUCGAGGGCCUCCAGGUGGUACUGAACAGGUGAGCCUUUCUCAAGCCCUAUAAUUCUUCUUCUAGAACCAUUUGGCUUUGCCUGUUCAGACAUUGCAUAACCUCAUAAGAUUUUGGUCAAAGAAAGUGCCCCAUUGAUUUUUUUUUUCUGUUGAGUUAAAACAAAACAAAACAAAACAAACAACCCCCCCCCCAAAAAAAAAAACAAACACCUGAACUAAGAUGUUUUCAAAUUCUCUCCGUCUUGAGAAUCUUGCAGUUCUCCAUGUGGCUUUUGGACUUUGUCUCCUCUUCUGUGUAACAUGUUGCUCUUUAGUCACCGUGUUGGUUUUUCUCUUCCCAGGGGAUCCUUGCAACAUGAUAUCACAUGAGUCUGUGAGACCUCUUGCAAAGGAUGUCUGGGACAGGGUGCCUGGCCCUCAGACUGUUCAUCACCUACCUGACACAGGAAGCUCACCUGUGCUUGCUGGCAAUGAGGAACUCUACAGUCACUUUUCCUCUGUGGGGUGAUUGACCAUGGUUCAAGACCAUGCUCCAAGUGCACUUCACAUAGAGAAUGAUGAAUGAUGAGUAUUCCACAGUGUCAAUGUCCUAAGGAAAAUGCCCUGCACAACUAAGGAGCCAGACCAGCCUCUAUCUGCCAUGGGCUAUGAGGAGCCGUUGGUUCCCCAAGGGUGGUGAAGAGUAUUGAGGAGUGUCACAGAGAGACAUCGGGAACCCUAGCCCCACACUGUCCAUCAGGCACAAGUACUUUUCAGCAUUGAAAUACGACUGUCCAAAUUGACAUGUGUGAUAAAGGUAAAAUGCAAACUGGAUUUUGAAGAUUUCACUUACAAAUGUAAAGCAUCUUAUGCAUGAUUUUUGUAUUAUUAUAAAUCAGGACAAUGAUAUUUUUACUAUAUUGGUUAAAUAAAAUAUAUCAUGGGAAUAAA